CAGCUAGUUGGUGAGGUAACGGCUCACCAAGGCGACGAUCAGUAGCUGAUCUGAGAGGAUGAUCAGCCACAUUGGGACUGAGACACGGCCCAAACUCCUACGGGAGGCAGCAGUGGGGAAUAUUGGACAAUGGGCGCAAGCCUGAUCCAGCCAUGCCGCGUGAGUGAUGAAGGCCCUAGGGUUGUAAAGCUCUUUUGUGCGGGAAGAUAAUGACGGUACCGCAAGAAUAAGCCCCGGCUAACUUCGUGCCAGCAGCCGCGGUAAUACGAAGGGGGCUAGCGUUGCUCGGAAUCACUGGGCGUAAAGGGUGCGUAGGCGGGUCUUUAAGUCAGGGGUGAAAUCCUGGAGCUCAACUCCAGAACUGCCUUUGAUACUGAGGAUCUUGAGUUCGGGAGAGGUGAGUGGAACUGCGAGUGUAGAGGUGAAAUUCGUAGAUAUUCGCAAGAACACCAGUGGCGAAGGCGGCUCACUGGCCCGAUACUGACGCUGAGGCACGAAAGCGUGGGGAGCAAACAGGAUUAAAU
rnacentral:rRNA from 1 species